rnacentral:rRNA from 1 species
GGCGCGAAACCUUUACACUGCACGCCAGUGAAUAGGGGGACACCGAGUGCGAGGGCAUAGAGCCCUCGCUUUUGUAGACCGUAAGGAGGUCUACGAAUAAGGGCUGGGCAAGACCGGUGCCAGCCGCCGCGGUAACACCGGCAGCCCAAGUGAUGGCCGAUAUUAUUGGGCCUAAAGCGUCCGUAGCUGGCCGCGCAAGUUCGUCGGGAAAUCCACUCGCUUAACGAGUGGGCGUCCGGCGAAAACUGUGCGGCUUGGGACCGGAAGAUCCAAGGGGUACGUCCGGGGUAGGAGUGAAAUCCCGUAAUCCUGGACGGACCACCGAUGGCGAAAGCACCUUGGAAGGACGGAUCCGACAGUDAGGGACGAAAGCUAGGGUCUCGAACCGGAUUAGAUACCCGGGUAGUCCUAGCCGUAAACGAUGCUCGCUAGGUGUGGCGCAGGCUACGAGCCUGCGCUGUGCCGUAGGGAAGCCGUGAAGCGAGCCGCCUGGGAAGUACGUCUGCAAGGAUGAAACUUAAAGGAAUUGGCGGGGGAGCACUACAACCGGAGGAGCUGCGGUUUAAUUGGACUCAACGCCGGACAUCUCACCAGCUCCGACAACAGUAAUGACGGUCAGGUUGAUGACCUUACCCGACGCUGUUGAGAGGAGGUGCAUGGCCGCCGUCAGCUCGUACCGUGAGGCGUCCUGUUAAGUCAGGCAACGAGCGAGACCCGCACCUCUAGUUGCCAGCAGCAUCUCGCGAUGGCUGGGUACACUAGGGGGACUGCCGUCGCCAAGACGGAGGAAGGAACGGGCAACGGUAGGUCAGUAUGCCCCGAAUGAGCUGGGCUACACGCGGGCUACAAUGGCCAAGACAGUGGGACGCGACACCGAGAGGUGAAGCUAAUCUCCUAAACUUGGUCGUAGUUCGGAUUGUGGGCUGAAACUCGCCCACAUGAAGCUGGAUUCGGUAGUAAUCGCGUGUCAGAAGCGCGCGGUGAAUACGUCCCUGCUCCU